GACGAACGCUGGCGGCGUGCCUAACACAUGCAAGUCGAGCGGUCUCGCCUAUAGCAAAAGGCCUUCGGGCUUCGAGCAAAGGCGAGAUAGCGGCGGACGGGUGAGUAACGCGUGGCUUAUCUGUCCCAGGGAGGGGGAUAACGUCUGGAAACGGGCGCUAAUACCCCAUAUGCCGGUGAGGUAAAAAGGAGAAAUCCGCCCUGGGGUGAGGCCGCGUCCUAUCAGCUAGUUGGUGAGGUAACGGCCCACCAAGGCUAUGACGGGUAGCCGGCCUGAGAGGGCGGCUGGCCACACUGGGAUUGAGAUACGGCCCAGACUCCUACGGGAGGCAGCAGUGGGGAAUAUUGGGCAAUGGGGGAAACCCUGACCCAGCGACGCCGCGUGGAGGAAGGAGCCCUUCGGGGUGUAAACUCCUGUUGUAAGGGAAGAAGACAGUGACGGUACCUUACGAGGAAGCCCCGGCAAACUACGUGCCAGCAGCCGCGGUAACACGUAGGGGGCGAGCGUUGUCCGGAAUCACUGGGCGUAAAGCGCACGCAGGCGGAUGCGCGCGUCGGCUGUGAAAUGCACCGGCUCAACCGGUGCACUGCGGUCGAUACGGCGCGUCUGGAGUGCGGGAGAGGGAAGCGGAAUUCCCGGUGUAGCGGUGAAAUGCGUAGAUAUCGGGAGGAACGCCGGUGGCGAAGGCGGCUUCCUGGCCCGCAACUGACGCUCAUGUGCGAAAGCCAGGGGAGCGAACCGGAUUAGAUACCCGGGUAGUCCUGGCCGUAAACGAUGGACACUAGGUGUGGGCGGUUUAUCCGUCUGUGCCGAAGUUAACGCGUUAAGCGUCCCGCCUGGGGAGUACGAUCGCAAGGUUGAAACUCAA
rnacentral:rRNA from 1 species